GGAUGUGAGGGCGACCUGUUUGCAACAUCUGUCAGCCCACUGAUCACCGGGGCUGAUUCAGCUGAUCUGGCUGGCUAGAUUAGCCCCUCCCUCCCUCACCACUCCAGCAGCGCCCCUCCAGGAGCGCCCCUCCCAAAGCUGCACACACGGUGGGAGAUGAAGACCAUCCCCGAUAGAGGAGGAUCGGUCUUCAGUCAAGGGUUUAACGAGUAGCUGUGCUCUCCUACUAGAAUCUCCAAACGAGCUCUCAAGAAAACAGAAAGAGGCCAAUAUGAUCCUUAAGUAUUUUAACACGCGGUCAUUAUAGAU
ensembl:misc_RNA 7SK 7SK RNA